GGAGGCAGCAGUGGGGAAUAUUGCGCAAGGGCGAAAGCCUGACGCAGCAACGCCGCGUGGGGGAUGAAGGUUCUCGGAUUGUAAACCCCUUUCGAUCGGAACGAAUCUCCUCCUGGUAAAUAAUCAGGAGGAUCGACGGUACCGGGAGAAGAAGCCACGGCUAACUCUGUGCCAGCAGCCGCGGUAAGACAGAGGUGGCGAGCGUUGUUCGGAUUUAUUGGGCGUAAAGCGAACGCAGGUGGUUUGGUAAGUCAGAGGUGAAAGACCACAGCUUAACUGUGGCACUGCCUUUGAUACUGCCUUUCUAGAGUGCAUGAGGGGGAAGCGGAAUUCCGAGUGUAGAGGUGAAAUUCGUAGAUAUUCGGAGGAACACCGGUGGCGAAGGCGGCUUCCUGGCAUGUAACUGACACUCAUGUUCGAAAGCGUGGGUAGCAAACAGGAUUAGAUACCCUGGUAGUCCACGCCCUAAACGAUGGGCACUAGGUGUGGGAGGUAUCGACCCCUUCCGUGCCGCAGCUAACGCAUUAAGUGCCCCGCCUGGGGAGUACGGCCGCAAGGUUGAAACUUAAAGGAAUUGACGG
rnacentral:rRNA from 1 species